GUCUCCCGGAGAGGCGUCUCCGGGCUGACCGCGGCCGCAGCUCCGCUCCUCUGCCUGAGCCGUGCGGCAGCCCUGGGAGCCUCUCAACGCCGAGCUUUCCUCAGAAGCCCGCGGCGACCCGGGCCUCGGCCGCUGUUCCUGCCCGAACUGAGGGCACAUCGCGCUUCGCGCGGGAUUUCCCAUAAAUUCAGGCUCCGGGCAAGAUUGUGUGUUUUUUCCUCUCCGCGGGCCGCCGCUGGCCGUGUGGGCCGAAGAAGCCCUGGAGGGGGAGAGGGGAGCCGCUCUCGACUGGGCUUGCGGCGUGGGAGGGACAGUGAGGGACACUUAGGGACUGUGUGGGGCAGUGAAGGAUAGUGUGGGAUGAUGAGGGACCGUGUGGACCGGUGAGCGACUGUGUGGGACAGUGCGGGACGAUGAGAGACGGUGUGGGACGGUGAGGGACAGUGCGGGACGAUGAGGGACAGUGAGGGACUGUGUAGGACAGUGAGGGACAGUGUGGGACGGUGAGGGACUGUGGGACAGUGAGGGACUUUGGGACUGUGAGGGACUCGGACAGUGAAGGAUGGCAAGGGACAGUGUGGGACAGUAUGGGACAGUGGACAGUGAGGCACUGUGAGGGGCGGUGAGGGACAAUGAAGGAUGUCAAGGGACAGUGUGGGACAGUGGACGGUGAGGUACUGUGAGGGGCGGUGAGGGACAGUGUGGGACUGUGAGGGAUGGCGAGGGACAGAGUAGGACAGCAAGGGAGGAUGAGGGGACAGAGUGGGCCGGCGUGGGGCGGUGAGGCUACGCGGGGGGAACCCAGGGCUCCUCUGACUGCGUUGGAAUAUGGAGGAAAGGUCCUGCUCGAGGUUGAGCCCUUCAGGGUCGCUGUGGGUUUCCAGGAGGAGCUCCCUCACUACUGACUUAGGGGGCCCUCGGCUUCCCAGUGUAAGAAGAAGCUGUCUUUGGAGUGAGAACAAGGGUGAGGUUCUGGCUCAGAAACCUUAGAAUCACAGACACUGUUUUCCUGAAAACAUUGCUUCUUUCUCUCAUCUCAAAGAAAUGCCACAAGUCGUGUGUAAGUAUAACAUGCUGGACAGGUCCUUAUUAAAUUUAUAUUUGUAUUUUGAUAUUAUUUUAAUCCUGUAGAAGAACAUAUACAUUUUGGUGUUUAUUCUUCUUGAUUAUAGAAGUUUUUGUGUUUCUACUUUGUUUAUAAUAAAUAUUUUAAAGUUAAACACAUUUUGUAUGUCCCUCUUGGUCCUAGAGCCUUUGUUUCUGUCUAUACAUAAUAUAAAUGUAUAUUAUGCACUUAAACUAUUUUAUAGAUAAGUGUGCAAUAAAAAAAUACAACCAAGAGAGGAAUUACAUUUCCUAGAGGGUGUUUGCUUAGUGUGCUACAUUGCAUUUUGGGAACAUUCAUAUUUCUGUUCAUGGAUGUUUCCAAAACGCAUGCAUGUACACACACACACACACAC
rnacentral:lncRNA from 1 species